UCCAAAUUGGUUUAAUGGUUAGAAUACCCGGCUCUCACCCGGGAGAUCCGGGUUCAAUCCCCGGGUUUGGAU
rnacentral:tRNA from 1 species